rnacentral:miRNA from 1 species
UUGAUCUGGAAUCGUGGAAAGAA